GAUGAACGCUAGCUACAGGCUUAACACAUGCAAGUCGAGGGGAAACGCCAUCGAAAGCUUGCUUUUGAUGGGCGUCGACCGGCGCACGGGUGAGUAACGCGUAUCCAACCUGCCCAUCACUUGGGAAUAACCUUGCGAAAGUAAGACUAAUACCCAAUGACAUCCCACGAAGACAUCUGAAUGGGAUUAAAGAUUUAUCGGUGAUGGAUGGGGAUGCGUCUGAUUAGCUUGUUGGCGGGGUAACGGCCCACCAAGGCAACGAUCAGUAGGGGUUCUGAGAGGAAGGUCCCCCACAUUGGAACUGAGACACGGUCCAAACUCCUACGGGAGGCAGCAGUGAGGAAUAUUGGUCAAUGGGCGAGGGCCUGAACCAGCCAAGUAGCGUGCAGGAUGACGGCCCUAUGGGUUGUAAACUGCUUUUAUAAGGGAAUAAAGUGGGUCUCGGGAGACUUUUUGCAUGUACCUUAUGAAUAAGGACCGGCUAAUUCCGUG
rnacentral:rRNA from 1 species